rnacentral:rRNA from 1 species
UACGAAGGGGGCUAGCGUUGCUCGGAUUGACUGGGCGUAAAGGGCGCGUAGGCGGAUAGUACAGUCAGGCGUGAAAUUCCUGGGCUCAACCUGGGGGCUGCGUUUGAUACGUAUUGUCUGGAGUUCGGAAGAGGGUCGUGGAAUUCCCAGUGUAGAGGUGAAAUUCGUAGAUAUUGGGAAGAGCACCGGUGGCGAAGGCGGCGACCUGGUCCUUUACUGACGCUGAGGCGCGAAAGCGUGGGGAGCAAACAGG